UUCAGAAUAUGUCGAAGAACGGAGGCUCUUUGUCUUUGCCUUAUUCAUGCAAGUCAUUGCCAUCUCAUUUCUCACGUCUUUGGCUUUCUUGUGGGAUCGAGUAACAAGUGUUCAAUACUAUUUUCUGCUUAUAUACGUUUGUCUGGGUAUGCCAUAUUUUGCAUAUCCUUUUGCAAAUUCUAUUCUUUCAAAAAUUACUGACCCACAGAAUGCGACAUUUAUCCAAGGUUUAUCCUACGCGACUUUGCAUUCGGCUAUUGUAAUAAGCCGCAUUGGGGUCAGUUUUGUAUUUACCAAAAUGAGUUUGCUCUUUUACUGCUUUGGCAUGGUCAUCCUUUGGUUAGUAGGUGUUAUAUGGUUUGUUAUACUAUAUAAAAAAAUGGUUCCAAACAUUUGAAGAAAAAUGUAUGUUUUUCUUUACAACUAGUGGUGAUGCAAAUGCGGUUAAUGUGAUGAUAAAUGUAAAUAUGUAAUUGUGAAUGUGAUGAUUAAAAUGUAAAUGUGGUGAUAAAUGUAUAAAUGUGAUGAUAAAUGACAAUUUUGUUAAAAAU